rnacentral:rRNA from 1 species
UGGCGGACGGGUGAGUAAUGUCUGGGAAACUGCCUGAUGGAGGGGGAUAACUACUGGAAACGGUAGCUAAUACCGCAUAACGUCGCAAGACCAAGGAGGGGGACCUUAGGGCCUCUUGCCAUCGGAUGUGCCCAGAUGGGAUUAGCUAGUAGGUGGGGUAAAGGCUCACCUAGGCGACGAUCCCUAGCUGGUCUGAGAGGAUGACCAGCCACACUGGAACUGAGACACGGUCCAG